GCUCUUUCCCAGGCUUCUGCCUGGCUAGAAACUCUCAGUUUCUCUCUUUGACUGAAUCUGAGACCCACAGAUGGUAAUAACAUCAAGCCUGCCAGAUUUCAAGAACCCUUUGUAAAAUGCUCUCAGGCACUUGGCGUGAUUCUUGGGGUGUCCUGUGCAGGGCCAGGAGCUGGACUCAAAUGAUCCUUGUGGGUCUCUUCCAGCUCAGGUUUUUCUGUGAUCCUACAGCUUAAGAUGCGGUCCUUUUAAUGAUUGCUGUGUUUCUCAGUGCAUUGCUGUGGCUAUGUCUAUGUUAGCAAGUAGUGCAGCACAGUGGAGAAAAAUUUGUAAGGCAGAGUGCUGAGACCUGGGUGCUGAGCACUGGGGUGCUGUGCAGGGUCUCAUGGGCACAAGAGCCAAUGGGUGCAGACAGAACCUUGAUGCAGUCAUCUUACUGUAUGACUCACAUCUCUAAAACUUUAUAAAUUACUCUGUUCCAUUUAAUACUGAGUUUAUCCUGUAACUUCCCUUUCAAGGUCUGCUGUUACUUUGCUUGAUCUCUACUGAGCUGUGGUAGAGCAAAGUCUGUGCUUGAGCAGAGGUGGCACAGGCAGAUGAGCAAGGGUCAGAAUGAGGCCAUGGGGAUGGUAGCAGGCAGUCAGUGCAGAGGACUCUGGGUUUCUGAGUGGAACAUGGCUCUCCAGCCUCCAGCACUGCCACCCAUGGCUGGCCACCACCAGCACGGAUGUUCUUGAUGCCAAGAGGGACAAUCCAAAUAGGAUAAUGCAAUUGGACAGCUUUGGGAGGGGUAUUGUUCACUCCUGAGAGGUAGUUUAAUCUCUUUUAAUUUAAAGGUUAAAUCUCUUUUUCCGUACUGGAAAUUUCCUUUGUUUUUCCAUCAUGGCCUUAAGAUGAGAUAGGGAAGAUUCAGAUUAGACAUUAGAAAAAAUAUUUUUCACUGUUAAAGUGGUCAGGUCAGGAACAGAUUGCCCAGGGUGGAGUCACCAUCCCUGGAGGUGUUUAGGAGGCUUCUGGAUCUGGCACUGGGUGAUGGUUUAGUGGCAUAAGAACUGCAGUGGCAUAUCUGGAUUAACAGCUAGACUUAAAAGCUUAAGGGUCUCUUCCAACCUCUUCCAAUUGGUUGUUUCUUUUCUAGGAAUAUCAUCAAUCUUACAGGAACUGACAACGAGUUGAGAAGCAGCUGCAAGCAAUUAAUGCCAUGAUUGACCCUGACGGUACCCUGGAUGCUCUGAGCAACUUGGGAUUCGCCAGCCCCAUCUUAGCAGCCCAGCCAAAGCCGAAGCCCCAGCCCUGCUUCCCAAGGCCCUCGCCCAGCAGGGCAGCCAAACUGCCAGCCUGAGCCCCGGGCUGCCCGUCCCACCACCGGCCCUGUGGCAUCUGAAUUGGAAAAUGCUGAAUCCGAGGCAGAUUUCAGCAUGCAUUUCAAUAGGUUUAACCCAGAUGGGGAAGAAGAGGAUGCCACCCUGCGUGAGUGACGUCUCAGUGUUUUGAUACAAAAACCUUUCAUGUGGAAUGUUUAGAAAUCAAGGAAACUUAUAAUGUUUGUUUUUAUAAUUAAAAAAAAAAAGGCUUGGUCAAACAGCAGUGUUUUAUUAAAACAGUUUUUUUAAAUUGUGAUGCUUUGAUUGUCACACCAAAUCCUUUUCAAAUCAUAAGAUAUGCAUAGAUACCAGUGUAGGAAAGCAGAUUGUGGCAGGUUUGCCCUUUGUGGUUGUGUGCUUUGCGAAAGAAUUAUUAUAACAGCAGUUUUCCCUUAAUAGAUUUAUUUCUUUUUAACAAGCCAUGCAAGCAGUCUAACAUUUAAUGAAAACCCCCAAAUCUCUUUGCCAAGCUGCUCUGAUGAACAGACUUCCUCCUCUAAAGCUUGUAACAGAACAGUUGAACUGUGAAUUUUGAUUUUGAAUUAGAUGAUUUAUAUAGGAAACAUUAUCUUUGACUACAAUGACACAUUACUGCUAAAAAGUAAGACAGAUUUCAGAAAGCAUUCAUUCUCAUGUAUUGGAAAAAUCUCACCCAGUUCUGUGGUUUAUGUAAUCUUGUUGCUGCGUAAAUUGUCUUGGGGUUUACAAUAAGUUCACAUAUUAUGUUUGCACUAAAAUUUGCUGGAGUGGUAGGUGAACAUAUCGAUAUCAUUGAACAGCAAGCAGUGUUUUGGUGUACAUAGAAAACUGAUAAUACUGUCCUUGUAUUAUCAUUGCAGUGUUUUAAUCCACUUUCUGAAAAGACUAUUUGGCACUUUUUUAUCUUCUUCAAAAGUCCUUUUGAUGUUAAUGAAAGUAGAAGUAUUUCGUAAUCUCAUUUCUGUCCAAAUCUUUGUUGAAACUGACUAGGAAAUAAAUUUGAACGUAAUAGCAAUGCAGGACAUAUUAAAUCAUAUUGAGGCAAAUGGGCUCUCAACCAAUCAAAUGCAAUGUAAGCUUACAGAAGAAAUUACUGUUUAUUUGGAAUGAUCAUGAGGUGUAAAAUUUUCUUUAGGGAACUUGGAAAUAGAGUUGUCAUGAUUUCCUUGAUCAAUAGAUGCACUCCCAAGCAAAUUAUUUUAUUUGCUUCUGUAUAUUUUCCUGUACGUCUGGCUAGUAAAAACUGUUCCUGUCUUACAUAUUUAAAAGGAUUCUGGACGACAACUGCUAACAUGGACAUUUUGCUUAUACCACUGAAAAGCAAGUCUAUUUAAAGUUUCCUAUAUAAGCCCUAUUUUCCUUAUCAGUUGUCCCAGUAACUUAACAUUUGGAAUAGAGAAAAAAAUUAAAGUAAAUUACUUUGUAUUUCCAGAACCACUGUAAUUUGGAGGAAUGUUUUUUCUGUUAAAUGUAACUAAUAGACUGGAAUUUUCUUGUUUGCAUCAGUCUCUAAUAUAUUAAGGUUAAAGAUACAGUUUUGCAGCUUUUAUGAAAUGGUCUUUAAUAUUUCAGCAAUAAAUCCUAUAUGAGAUUUGUUUUUAAAAAAAUUACUUUCUGUACGCUUUUAAAUUGUACAGGCUUUCAAAAAUCAGUAAAGUUGGACCAGUUAAUAAAGAUGCAAAAACUUUUUUUGUAGAGAUGUAAAAACAAAACCACUAAUCUGUUGUAUAAUGGAUUUCAUAUUUUCUUUAAAAAAAAACUAAAAGCAAACAGUCUUCAUGUAUGACUCAAUAUGCUCUACUCCAGCUAACUAUGGGAGCCUGAAUGGCACUAGUUUACAGGGGCUACAGGAAAAUUUUUGAAGGUGGCAGAAGGGCAAAAAUAGAUGGAAAACUAGAGCUAAGUGCUGAAAACUGAGUGUACCAAACCAUCACCACAAUUCCUCCUUUGUUUAAUGCUUGGGAACAUAAUUUUUCUGCAGAUUCAAGUGGAAAGCAGGAAUGGCUAGGAAGGACUAAAGGUGCAGGCUCUUCAUACGAGGUUCUGUUUGUGUUAUUUCAGGCAUUUUUACCUUUAUGUUGUGUAAUAAGCAUUUUGCAUUACUAUGUUAUUAUUUUGUAUGGACAUGUUCUCCUUAUUUAUUUUUUGUUACAUUUAUUAUGUAUGUUAUUUUGUUAUAUGCAUUUACAACUCCAUUUUUAAAUAAAGUGUUUUCUGGAACUUUA